AUUGAACGCUGGCGGCAGGGCUUAACACAUGCAAGUCGAGCGGGGACUUCGGUCCUAGCGGCGAACGGGUGAGUAAUGCCUAGGAAUCUGCCUUGUAGUGGGGGAUAACGUUUCGAAAGGAGCGCUAAUACCGCAUACGUCCUACGGGAGAAAGGAGGGGAUCUUCGGACCUUCCGCUAUAAGAUGAGCCUAGGUCGGAUUAGCUAGUUGGUGGGGUAAAGGCCUACCAAGGCGACGAUCCGUAGCUGGUCUGAGAGGAUCGAUCAGCCACACUGGAACUGAGACACGGUCCAGACUCCUACGGGAGGCAGCAGUGGGGAAUAUUGGACAAUGGGCGAAAGCCUGAUCCAGCCAUGCCGCGUGUGUGAAGAAGGCCCUUGGGUUGUAAAGCACUUUUAAGCGGGGAGGAAGGUUCGCUGGCUAAUAUCCAGCGGAAUUGACGUU
rnacentral:rRNA from 1 species